UGAGAUCAUCAUAAAGCCUUGGUUAUCUGAGGGGAAUAAAGGUUCAGCUUGUCGACAUUAAUUACCUCAGUAUAAAGUAGUCAAGAGGAGAUUCAUGAUUAUAUAUUUUUAAGGAAUAUGAAGGGUGAAUGUUCUGUUUUGCAAGGAUUUUCCUCUUCCCCUGGUUUCACUGAAAAGUUUUUAAUCUCACCUCAAUUAUGGGAGAAAUCCUUUACUGGAAGGCAAAGAAUCUGUGAAUUUCAACUGAUCCUGAAGGGGAUGGUCAUUUUCAGCAAAAGAAAUCUAAGAAGGCUUCCUAAGGACAUAAUGUUGAUGUUAUAAUUUAAAGGAUGAGUACUAAUUAAAAAUGGAAAGCAAAAGGAAAUUGUUCUAAACAAAGAUAUAGAAACUAUGUUUUAGAGACUUGUCCAUGAUCAAACAUUGGGCAAAUGUCAGAUGAAUCAUCUGAAGCUAAAUAUUUCUCAUUCAACUUUGAGUUCUCCACUCAAGUUAAUAAGAAGAUUGAGGACCUGAAUCAGCUGUAGCAUGCACACCAAACUGUCUCCACAAAUGGACUAAACCAGGUCGAAGAUAACUGAGAGACCUCGAACCCUUUGUGAAGUGGGAACAUAUCUACAUUGAACAUGUGAAGAUUUCCACCAGUGGAAUGGACCAAUGAGAACAAUUUGGUCCAAUGCCCAUGAAGACAACUGAGAAAGGAACUAGUAAAGUACUUAGAUCUUGGUCAGACUUCAAACAAGCCAGUGUUACACACUGCAUCCCAGGCCAGUUUUUAUGACUUUUCUCUUGCCCCUGGACUUCAAUGUCCAGUGACUUUGAGCAUCUUUUUCUGUUCAAAAAUUUCCUAGAGGCAGUUUUAUAUUACUUCUACUGUGGGUUACUACACUAGUGGGUAAUUAUAAUUUACUUUUAGGCUAUAUUUUCUUUUUAAAGCUUUAUUUUAUAAGACAACUG